rnacentral:rRNA from 1 species
UACAGAGGUCUCAAGCGUUGUUCGGAUUCAUUGGGCGUAAAGGGUGCGUAGGCGGCGCGGUAAGUCGGGUGUGAAAUCUCGGAGCUUAACUCCGAAACUGCAUUCGAUACUGCCGUGCUUGAGGACUGGAGAGGAGACUGGAAUUUACGGUGUAGCGGUGAAAUGCGUAGAUAUCGUAAGGAAGACCAGUGGCGAAGGCGGGUCUCGUGGACAGCUCCUG